CCUACGUGAGGCUGCAGUGGGGAAUAUUGCGCAAUGGGCGAAAGCCUGACGCAGCGACACCGCGUGAGGGAUGAAGGUCUUCGGAUCGUAAAGCUCUGUCAGCAGGGAAGAACGGUCACUGUGCUAAUCAGCAGUGAAUUGACGGUACCUGCAAAGGAAGCACCGGCUAACUCCGUGCCAGCAGCCGCGGUAAUACGGAGGGUGCGAGCGUUAAUCGGAAUUACUGGGCGUAAAGCGCACGUCGGCGGUAUGGCAAGUCAAGGGUGAAAUCCCCGCGCUCAACGUGGGAACUGCCUUUGAAACUGGCAAACUUGAGUGUGUGAGAGGAUAGUAGAAUUCCAGGUGUAGGAGUGAAAUCCGUAGAUAUCUGGAGGAACAUCAGUGGCGAAGGCGACUAUCUGGCACAUAACUGACGCUGAGGAGCGAAAGCGUGGGGAGCAAACAGGAUUAGAUACCCGGGUAGUC
rnacentral:rRNA from 1 species